rnacentral:rRNA from 1 species
CCCAGACUCCUACGGGAGGCAGCAGUGGGGAAUAUUGCACAAUGGGGGAAACCCUGAUGCAGCAACGCCGCGUGAAGGAAGACGGUUUUCGGAUUGUAAACUUCUGUUCUUAGUGAAGAAUAAUGACGGUAGCUAAGGAGCAAGCCACGGCUAACUACGUGCCAGCAGCCGCGGUAAUACGUAGGUGGCAAGCGUUGUCCGGAAUUACUGGGUGUAAAGGGUGCGUAGGCGGGAUGCCAAGUCAGCGGUAAAAAUGCGGUGCUCAACGCCGUCGAGCCGUUGAAACUGGCGUUCUUGAGUGGGCGAGAAGUAUGCGGAAUGCGUGGUGUAGCGGUGAAAUGCAUAGAUAUCACGCAGAACUCCGAUUGCGAAGGCAGCAUACCGGCGCCCUACUGACGCUGAGGCACGAAAGCGUGGGUAUCGAACAGGAUUAGAUACCCCAGUAGU